rnacentral:rRNA from 1 species
AGCAGCUUGCUGCUUUGCUGACGAGUGGCGGACGGGUGAGUAAUGUCUGGGAAACUGCCUGAUGGAGGGGGAUAACUACUGGAAACGGUAGCUAAUACCGCAUAACGUCGCAAGACCAAAGAGGGGGACCUUAGGGCCUCUUGCCAUCGGAUGUGCCCAGAUGGGAUUAGCUAGUAGGUGGGGUAACGGCUCACCUAGGCGACGAUCCCUAGCUGGUCUGAGAGGAUGACCAGCCACACUGGAACUGAGACACGGUCCAGACUCCUACGGGAGGCAGCAGUGGGGAAUAUUGCACAAUGGGCGCAAGCCUGAUGCAGCCAUGCCGCGUGUAUGAAGAAGGCCUUCGGGUUGUAAAGUACUUUCAGCGGGGAGGAAGGGAGUAAAGUUAAUACCUUUGCUCAUUGACGUUACCCGCAGAAGAAGCACCGGCUAACUCCGUGCCAGCAGCCGCGGUAAUACGGAGGGUGCAAGCGUUAAUCGGAAUUACUGGGCGUAAAGCGCACGCAGGCGGUUUGUUAAGUCAGAUGUGAAAUCCCCGGGCUCAACCUGGGAACUGCAUCUGAUACUGGCAAGCUUGAGUCUCGUAGAGGGGGGUAGAAUUCCAGGUGUAGCGGUGAAAUGCGUAGAGAUCUGGAGGAAUACCGGUGGCGAAAGCGGCCCCCUGGACGAAGACUGACGCUC